GACGAACGCUGGCGGCGUGCUUAACACAUGCAAGUCGAGCGGUAAGGGCCCUUUCGGGGGUACACGAGCGGCGAACGGGUGAGUAACACGUGGGUGACCCUGCCCUCAGCUCUGGGAUAAGCCUGGGAAACUGGGUCUAAUACUGGAUAUGACUCCACGGUGCAUGUCGUGGGGUGGAAAGCCUUGUGCGGCUGAGGAUGGGCCCGCGGCCUAUCAGCUUGUUGGUGGGGNGAUGGCCUACCAAGGCGACGACGGGUAGCCGGCCUGAGAGGGCGACCGGCCACACUGGGACUGAGACACGGCCCAGACUCCUACGGGAGGCAGCAGUGGGGAAUCUUGCGCAAUGGGCGAAAGCCUGACGCAGCGACGCCGCGUGAGGGAUGACGGCCU
rnacentral:rRNA from 1 species